rnacentral:rRNA from 1 species
GACGAACGCUGGCGGCGUGCCUAACACAUGCAAGUCGAGCGGAGUCAGUACGAGGAAGUUUUCGGAUGGAAUCUUAUUGAUUUAGCGGCGGACGGGUGAGUAACGCGUGAGCGACAAACCUUGCUCAGGGGGAUAACGGACGGAAAGGUUCAGUAAUACCGCAUGAGACCACGGUGUUGCAUGACACAGAGGGCAACGGAGCAAUCCGGUGCAAGACGGGCUCACGUCCGAUUAGGUAGGUGGAGGGGUAACGGCCCACCAAGCCUAUGAUCGGUAGCCGACCUGAGAGGGUGAUCGGCCACAUUGGAACUGAGAUACGGUCCAAACUCCUACGGGAGGCAGCAGUGGGGAAUAGUGGGCAAUGGGGGAAACCCUGACCCAGCAACGCCGCGUGAAGGAAGAAGGUUUUCGGAUUGUAAACUUCUGUCCUUGGUGAAGAGAAGAAGACGGUAGCCAAGGAGGAAGCCCCGGCUAACUACGUGCCAGCCGCCGCAGUAACAC